rnacentral:rRNA from 1 species
CCUACGGGAGGCUGCAGUGGGGAAUAUUGCACAAUGGGGGAAACCCUGAUGCAGCGACGCCGCGUGAGUGAAGAAGUAUUUCGGUAUGUAAAGUCCUAUCAGCAGGGAAGAUAAUGACGGUAUCUGACUAAGAAGCCCCGGCUAACUACGUGCCAGCAGCCGCGGUAAUACGUAGGGGGCAAGCGUUAUCCGGAUUUACUGGGUGUAAAGGGAGCGUAGGCGGGGCAGCAAGUCCGGAGUGAAAGCCCAUGGCUUAACCAUGGUACUGCAUUUGAAACUGUGGUGCUUGAGUGGGGGAGAGGCAGGCGGAAUUCCUAGUGUAGCGGUAAAAUGCGUAGAGAUCAGGAGGAACA